ensembl:lncRNA
CGGAGGCCUGCACAUCCAGCAGAGCGGCCAAAAAGGGGUACACUACACCGCUACUCCAAGGCGGGCGGCUGGCUGGCUGGCUGGCGCGCUCCGCACCCACCCGCACCCGCGGGCGGCGGUCGCCUAGGCUCGGCGGCGGAACUGCGCCUGCGCGGUGAGCGCGGACGCCCUCGCCUUCGCACGCCGGGUGACGUGCCGGCGCUUCUCUGGCUUCGGGCAGAGUGGAGGUGGACUUUCUCCUCAACCCUGUGGACAGCAGAAAGCGGCCGAGCGCAAGACGGACAGUGGGAAGAAGUAUAUCACUACUUCCUCGUCUACGACUAGAAGACGUUGCCCAGGAGGGCCAGACCACCAUCACCUUUUCACUGGACCCUGCUGCAGCUUCCUCCAUAGUUUUUCUGCUCCAGCCAGCCCCUUCUCCACACAGCAGCAGCCAGAAAGAGCUGCUGAAACCUGCAUCCGAGUGUCUUGCUCUCCUCUCCCCGGAC